rnacentral:tRNA from 1 species
ACUUAAAAGAAAUUAAAAAUAAAUUAAAUUUAACUUUAACAAUCUUAUCUUUUCUUUAAGGCU